AUAGUAUUUAUUUUCCUACCUUUAUUUAAGUAAAACUAACAUUUAUUUGGAAAAUCAUUUGGAAAAUUAUUAGGAAAUUACACUAAUGUAAACUGUUAUAUUUCCAUUGACUUAGGCUUACAUAAAGUGUCUCCCGAUACAACACUUUUCUUUAACACAAAUAAAAGGAAUGACCCUACUCCCUGUCCUGGCCUGCCAUCGGUGAGAUCAGUAACAAAACCCAAGUCAGGGUAUGUUAUAAACAGACCCUAUUUUCUAAUUUAUAGCAUCCACUUUCGUAUUAAAGAAUCAUUUCACUUUGGACCCUAAGUUCUGUUAAAUGGAAUAAAAUAUUUAGAUAUAGUUGACAUAUAACAUUCAUUUCAGGUAUACAACAUAAUGAUUCCAUAUUUCUUUAUAUUGGGGAAUAACUGUCACAGUAAUUCUACUUAACCUCCAUUACCAUACAUAGUUAGGAAACUUUUUCUUAGGAUGAAAACUUUGAAGAUUUACUCUCUCAGCAACUUUCAAACAUACAGUAUUGUAUUAUUAAUAUAUAUAGUCAUGCUGUAUGUACAUUGCAUCUCUAUGACAUUUAUUAUGUAACUGGAAGUUUGUACUUUUUAACCCCUUCACUCAUUUCACAUACUACCCCCACCCGAUCCUGCCUCUGGAAACCAGCAAUUUGUUCUCUCUAUUCAUGAGCUUUAUUUGUUUGGUUGUUUUGGUAUUUUUUUCCUUCCCUUCCUCUCUCCCUCCUCCCUUUUUCCCUUCCUUCCUUUCUUGGUUUUCUGGGGAUUUCUUUAGAUUCCACAUAUGGGUGAUGCCAUGCAGUAUUUGACUUUCUGUUUGACUUAUUUCAUUUAGCAUAAUACUCUCAGUGUCCAUCCAUGUUGUCACAAAUGGCAAAAUAUCCUUUUUAUGGCUGAAUAAUAUUCCAUUGUAUAUAUAACGCAUAUUGUUUAUUCAACUAUCAGUGAACAUGACAUAGUUGCUUCCAUAUCUUGAAUAUUGUAAAUAAUGCUGAAGUGAACAUGGGGUUGCAAAUAUCUCUCUGAGUUUUUGUUUUCAUUUUCUUCAGCUAAAUGCCCAGAAGUGGAAUCUCUUGAUCAUAUUUAAUUUUUUAAUUUUUUGAGGAACCUCCAUACUGCUUUCCAUAAUGGCUGCUCUGAUUUACAUUCCCACCAACGGUGCAAAGGGUUCCCUUUUCUCCACAUUCUAGCCAACUUAUUAUUUCUGUUUUUUUUAGUGAUAGCCAUUCUAACAGUGUGAUGUCACAGCUCACUGUGGUUUUAAUCUACAUGUCCCUGAUGAUUGGUGACUCUUAGCACCUUUUCAUGUACCUUUUGACCAUUUAUAUGUCUUCUAUGGAAAAAUGUCUAUUCAGAUCCUCUACCUAUGUUUUAAUCAGAUUGGGUUUUUUUGUUACUUAGUUGUAUAAGUUCUCUAUAUAUUUUGUAUUUUAACCCCUUAUUUAGAUAUGGGGUUUGCAAAUAUUUUCUCCCAUUUUGUUGGUUACUUUUUUGUUUUGUUGAUAGUUUUGUCUGGAUAUAUGCCCAGGAGUGGGAUUCCUGGAUAACAUGGUAGUUCUAUAUUUAGUUUUUUGAGAAACCUCCAUUACUGUUUUCCAUAAUGGUUGUACCAAUUUAUGUUACCACUAACAGUGAAGAAGUGUUCCUUUUUCUCCACAUCUUCUCCAGCAUUUGCUAAUUAUUGACUUGUUAAUGAUGGCCAUUCUGACCAGUGGGAGAUGGUACCACAUUGUAAUUUUGAUUUGCGUUUCUGUAAUAAUCAGUGAUGUUGAACAUUUUUUCAUGUUCCUAUUGGCCAUCCAUAUGUCUUCUUUGGAUAGAUGUCUAUAUGGGUUUUCUGCCCAUUUUUCAUUUGGGUUGUUUGUGUUUUUUUGUUGUUGAGUUAGUUGUAUGAGUUGUUUGUAUAUUUUAGAGAUUAGGCCCUGGUCACUUAUAUCGUUUGCAAAGAUUUUCUUCCAUUCUGUGGAUUGUCUUUUUUUUUUUUAAUGGUUUCUUUUGCUGUGCUGAAGAUUUUGAGUUAAAUAAGGUCCCACUGGUUUACUUUUGUCUUUAUUGUCAUUACUCUAGGAGGUGGAUCAAACAAGAUGUUGCUGUGAUUUAUGUCAAAGAACAUUCUGCCUAUGUUUUCCUCUAGGAAUUUUAUAGUAUAUGGCCUUUAAUUUACCUCUUUAAUUCAUUUUGAAUUUAUUUUUGUGUAUGGUAUUAGAUAAUGUGCUAAUUUCAUUCUUUUAUAUGUAUCUUUCCAGUUUUCCCAGGACCAAUUACUGAAAAAGAUUAUUUUUCCUCUACUGUAUGUUUUGCCUCCUUUUUCAUAGGUUAGUUGACUGUAGGUGCUUGGAUUUAUUUCUGGGGUUUCUAUCCUAUUCCAUUGCUCUAUAUGUCUGUUUUUGUGCCAGUGCCAUACUGUUUUGAUGUCUGUAGUUUUGUAGUAUAGCCUGAAGUCAAGGAGCCUGAUUCCUCCAGCUCCAUUUUUUCUUUCUCAGAAUUGCUUUGGCUAUUCAGGGUCUUUUGCGAUUUCAUACAAAUUUUAAAAUAUUUUGUUCAGUUCUAUGGAGAAUAUCUGUGGUAAUUUGAUAGGGAUUGCAGUGAAUCUGUAGAUUGUCUUGAGUAGUACAGUCAUUUUGACAAUUUUGAUUCUUCCAAUCCAAGAGCAUGAUCUGUCUUCCAUCUGUUUGUGUCUUGUUUGAUUUCUUUCAUCAGCAUCUUGUAGUUUUCAGAGUAUGGGCCUUUUGUCUUUUUAGGUUGGUUUAUUCCUAGGUAUUUUAUUCUUUUUGAUGUGAGGUAAAUGGGAUAGUUUCCCUAAUUUCUCUUUCUGAUCUUUCACUGAUAGUAUAUAGAAAUGCAAAUCUAUUUCUGUGUAUUAAUUUUGUGUCCUGCAACUUUACCAAAUUCAUUGAUGAGCUCUAACAAUUUUCUCAUAGGGUCUUUAGGAUUUUCUAGGUGUAGUAUCAUGUCAUCUGCAGACAGUGAUAGUUUUACUUCUUCUCCAAUUUGGAUUCCUUUUAUUUCUUUUCCUUCUCUGUUUGCUGGGUCUAGGACUUCCGAAACUAUGUGAAUAACAGUAGUGAAAGUGGACAUCCUUACCUUGUUCCAGAUCUUAGUGGAAAUGUUUUCAGCUUUUCACCAUUGAGAAUGAUGUCAGCUGUGGGUUUGUCAUAUAUGGCUUUUAUUAUGUUGAAAUAGGUCCCCUCUCUGCCCACUCUCUGGAGAGUUUUUUUUUUUUUUUUAUCAGAAAUGGGUAUUGAAUUUUGUUAAAAGCUCUUUGGCUCUAUUGGGAUUAUAAUAUGGUUUUCAUUUUUCAUUUUUUUGAUGUGGUGUAUCACACUGAUUGUUUUGCAGGUAUUGAAGAAUCCUUACAUCCCUGGGAUAAAUCCCACUUGAUCAUGGUGUAUGAUCCUUUAAUAUGUACUUGUAUUCAGUCUGCUAAUAUUUUGUUGAGGAUUUAUGCAUCUAUGUUCAUCAGUGAUAUUGGCCUGUAAUAUUCUUUUUUUGUGGUAUCCUUGUCUGGUUUUGGUGUUAGGGUGACAGUGGCUUCACUUCGUCACAGAGGAAGUGUUCCUUCCUCUGCAAUUUUUUGGAAGAGUUUCAGAAGAAUAGGUGUUAACUCUUCUCUGAAAGUUUGUUAGAAUUCACCUAUGAAGCCAUCAGGUCCUAAACUUUUGUUUUUUGGAAGUUUUUUUAAUCAAGUUUUCAAUUUCAGUACUUGUGAUUGGUCUGUUCAUAUUUUCUAUUUCUUCCUGGUUCAGUCUUGGUAGGUUGUACCUUUGUAAGAAUCUGUCCAUUUUUUCCAGGUUGUCCAUUUUAUUGGCAUAUAGUUGCUAAUAGUAGUCUCUUAUGAUCCUUUUUAUUUCUGUGGUGUUAGUUGUAACUUCUCCUUUUUCAUUUCUAAUUUUAUUGCCUCUCCCUUUUUUUUUCUUGAUGAAUGUGGCUAAAGGUUAAUCAAUUUUGUUCAUCUUUUCAGAGAACCAACUUUUUGUUUCAUUGAUCUUCUCUAUUAUUUUCUUUGUCUCUAUGUCAUUAAUUUCUGCUCUAAUAUUUAUGAUUCCUUUCCUUUUACUAAUACUGGGUUUUGUCUGUUUGUUCCUCCUUCUCUAGAUGUUUUAGGCAUAAGGUUAGGUUUUUUAUAUGAGCUUUUUCUUGUUUCCUGAGAUAAGACUGUUUUGCUGUAAACUUGCCUCUCAGAACUACUUCUGCUGUGUUCCUUAGGUUUUGAAUUGUCAUAUCUUUAUUGUCAUUUGUCAUAUCUCUAAGUAUCUUUUAAUUUCCUCUUUGAGUUCUUCAGUGAUCCGUUGGUGGUUAUUAGCAUAUUGUUUAGCUUCCAGGAGUUUGUGUUUUUUGCUGUUUUCUUCUUUCUUUCUUUCUUCUUUUUUUGCUUUUGUCUUUUUAGGGCCGCACCCAAGGCAUAUGGAGAUUCUCAGGCGAGGGGUUGAUUCAGAGCUGUAGAGGGUGGCCUAUACCACAGUCAUGGCAAUGUGGGAUCUGAGCCAUAUCUAUGACCUACACCACACAGCUCACAGCAACACCAGAUCCUUAACCCACUGAGCAAGGCCAGGGAUCAAACCUGUGUCCUCAUGGCUGCUAGUCAGUUUUGUCUCUGCUGAGCCACAAUGGGAACUCCACUGUGUUUUGUUUUGUUUUUUUCUUAUAAUUUAUUUAUAGUCUCAUAACAUUGUGGUCAGAGAAAAUGCUUGAGAUAAUUUCAAUUAAAAGAAAAGUGUCAAGUCUUGAUCUGUGGCCCAGGACGUGAUCUGUCCUAGAGAAUGUUUCAUGUGCACUUGAGAAGAAUAUAUAUUCUGCUGCUUUGGGAUGAAAUGUUCUAUAAAUAUCAGUGAAGUCUGUCUGGUCUAGGGUGUCAUUUAAUGCCUGUGAUUCCUUGUUGAUUUUUUGUCCUGAAUGAUCUGUCCAUUGAUGUAAGUGUUAAAGUCCCCCACUGAAUAUGCAUUUAUGAUGUGGCAGUCUAGAGAACUUUUCUUGGUGAGAAUUAUUUCAGAAGUGUUUCAGAAAGAGGAAAUUCUAUGCAUUUUUCAUAAAAGCACUUUAUCAGCACAGACAUCAUCUGCAGUUUGAAAGAUGUUGCUCAAUAAAUCCAGAACACCAGUGUCUUUUAAUAUAUAUCCAUGAUUGGAGUUCCUGUGGUGGCUCAGUGGUUAACAAAUCCUACAAGAAACCACGAAGUUGUGGGUUUGAUUUUUGGCCUUGCUCAGUGGGUUAAGGAUCCGGUAUUGCCCUGAGCUGUGGUGUAGGUCGCAGACAUGGCCAGGAUCCUGCGUUGCUGUGGCUC
rnacentral:lncRNA from 1 species